GGGACACGUGGUAUCCUGUCUGAAUAUGGGGGGACCAUCCUCCAAGGCUAAAUACUCCUGACUGACCGAUAGUGAACCAGUACCGUGAGGGAAAGGCGAAAAGAACCCCGGCGAGGGGAGUGAAAAAGAACCUGAAACCGUGUACGUACAAGCAGUGGGAGCACGCUUAGGCGUGUGACUGCGUACCUUUUGUAUAAUGGGUCAGCGACUUAUAUUCUGUAGCAAGGUUAACCGAAUAGGGGAGCCGAAGGGAAACCGAGUCUUAACUGGGCGUUAAGUUGCAGGGUAUAGACCCGAAACCCGGUGAUCUAGCCAUGGGCAGGUUGAAGGUUGGGUAACACUAACUGGAGGACCGAACCGACUAAUGUUGAAAAAUUAGCGGAUGACUUGUGGCUGGGGGUGAAAGGCCAAUCAAACCGGGAGAUAGCUGGUUCUCCCCGAAAGCUAUUUAGGUAGCGCCUCGUGAAUUCAUCUCCGGGGGUAGAGCACUGUUUCGGCAAGGGGGUCAUCCCGACUUACCAACCCGAUGCAAACUGCGAAUACCGGAGAAUGUUAUCACGGGAGACACACGGCGGGUGCUAACGUCCGUCGUGAAGAGGGAAACAACCCAGACCGCCAGCUAAGGUCCCAAAGUCAUGGUUAAGUGGGAAACGAUGUGGGAAGGCCCAGACAGCCAGGAUGUUGGCUUAGAAGCAGCCAUCAUUUAAAGAAAGCGUAAUAGCUCACUGGUCGAGUCGGCCUGCGCGGAAGAUGUAACGGGGCUAAACCAUGCACCGAAGCUGCGGCAGCGACACUAUGUGUUGUUGGGUAGGGGAGCGUUCUGUAAGCCUGUGAAGGUGUGCUGUGAGGCAUGCUGGAGGUAUCAGAAGUGCGAAUGCUGACAUAAGUAACGAUAAAGCGGGUGAAAAGCCCGCUCGCCGGAAGACCAAGGGUUCCUGUCCAACGUUAAUCGGGGCAGGGUGAGUCGACCCCUAAGGCGAGGCCGAAAGGCGUAGUCGAUGGGAAACAGGUUAAUAUUCCUGUACUUGGUGUUACUGCGAAGGGGGGACGGAGAAGGCUAUGUUGGCCGGGCGACGGUUGUCCCGGUUUAAGCGUGUAGGCUGGUUUUCCAGGCAAAUCCGGAAAAUCAAGGCUGAGGCGUGAUGACGAGGCACUACGGUGCUGAAGCAACAAAUGCCCUGCUUCCAGGAAAAGCCUCUAAGCAUCAGGUAACAUCAAAUCGUACCCCAAACCGACACAGGUGGUCAGGUAGAGAAUACCAAGGCGCUUGAGAGAACUCGGGUGAAGGAACUAGGCAAAAUGGUGCCGUAACUUCGGGAGAAGGCACGCUGAUAUGUAGGUGAAGUCCCUCGCGGAUGGAGCUGAAAUCAGUCGAAGAUACCAGCUGGCUGCAACUGUUUAUUAAAAACACAGCACUGUGCAAACACGAAAGUGGACGUAUACGGUGUGACGCCUGCCCGGUGCCGGAA
rnacentral:rRNA from 1 species